UUGUUCAUUUAUCCUGUCAAAUAAAACAAGAUCAAAUUUUAAAAAAUAGUUUAUUAUGCAAACAGAAAUCAGUUUGCAAACUGGGAGAUCUCAAACUGAAAAUGGUAAGAGGAAACUCAGAGGCAUAGCAUCACAGGCUGGUUUAUAAAACAAAUGAGAAAAAGUUUUUGUCAUUUCUGUUUUUUGCUGUGUUGGGAAUCAGACCCAGGAUAUCACACAUUGCUAGACAAGUGCUUUCCCACUUAACUGUAACCCCAGCCCAAGAAAGUUUUUUCAAUCAUUUUUUCAAUGAUUGGGUAUUACCAGAUGGCAGAAGAUUGGUUAAAAGUGAUUUUAUUAUACAUUGUUGAAAGACAACUUAAGUUUCAUUUAUGAUUAUCAGAGCCAUUUACAAGAAACAACCUAAGUAAUGUUUUGUUUAGGAAGUCAAACGGGUCUUCUCCAGGGAUUCUCAAGCCUGAUCUCCAUUAUACUUUGCUAUAGCUACCCAUUCAUUCAUUGUGUCUUUUAGAUUUAGAAAUGAAUACCUGCACCUUCCAGUAAGGUAAAACAUGUAACAACACUUGUGACCCACUAUUCUCUUAAGUGCACUAACAAAUCUCUAGUGAGUUCCCUGUAAUAUCCUUCAGGUCACUAAGGAGCUGGCAGGGUAGCACUAGUAGGAUAGAUUCUCCAACAGCCCCAGAGUCACAGAGAAAAGGUAGGUGCUAGUUGUCCACAUACUUCAAACCAGACCUCUGCAUGUGCACUAUUAAUUUGUCUGAAUACUAGUGUCAACAUUUCUGAAAUCUCAGACCUUUUUCUACCCAAGUUUUUAUUGCUUUGAGAAUCUGCUGAAGUCCCAGGGACAGUCAUGUAAGAACUACUGUGAAUAUAGAAUAUUUUAUGACAGUUAUGAAAAUUAAUUGAUCCUCAAAACAUUAGGUUUAUAAUUUCUCCUCAAAAUUGUCAUAUUUUUAAAUGCUCUUUUAAACAGUAGCCAAUAACUUCAACUUAUUUAUACUGAUUUUUAGAUAGUAUUGAAUGAUGCCCCUUCUU
rnacentral:lncRNA from 1 species